rnacentral:ncRNA from 1 species
AAACGUAUAGGUUUGGUCCCAGCCUUUUUAUUAAUUGCUGCUAAAAUUACACAUGCAAGUAUCCACUUCCCAGUGAGAGUGCCCUCCAAGUCACACCCAACGAUUGAAAGGAGCAGGUAUCAAGCACACUAAAACAGUAGCUCACAACACCUUGCUUAACCACACCCCCAGGGAAACAGCAGUGACAAAAAUUAAGCCAUGAACGAAAGUUUGACUAAGUUAUAUUAAAUGCGGUUGGUAAAUUUCGUGCCAGCCACCGUGGUCAUAUGAUUAACCCAAAUUAAUACAACCCCAGCGUAAAGUGUGUCAAAAGAUAUCAUCACAAAUAAAGUUAAAAGCCAGUUAAGCUGUAAAAAGCUACAACCAAAGUAAAAUAAACUACGAAAGUGACUUUAGUAUCUCUGACUACACGAUAGCUAAGGCCCAAACUGGGGUUAGAUGCCCCACUAUGCUUAGCCCUAAACCCAGAUAAUUUACCACAACCAAGUUAUUCGCCAGAGUACUACUAGCAAUAGCCUAAAACUCAAAGGGCUUGGCGGUGCUCUAUAUCCUUCUAGAGGAGCCUGUUCUAUAAUCGAUAAACCCUGAUAACCUCACCAACCCUUGCUAAUGCAGCCUAUAUACUGCCAUCUUCAGCAAACCCUAAAAAGGUACUAAAGUAAGCACAAGUAUCCAACACAAAAACGUUAGGUCAGGGUGUAGCUUAUAGGAUGGAGGGAAAUGGGCUACGUUUUCUCCUCUUAAGAAUAUAAACGUGCACGAAAGUUUCUAUGAAACUAGAAACCAAAGGAGGAUUUAGCAGUAAAUUAAGAAUAGAGAGCUAAAUUGAAUCAGGCCAUCAAGUGCACACACACUGCCUGUCAUCCUCCAUAAAUAUUACAAAUCAUAAUUUAACGUAAUAUCAUGAUCCAAACAUUUAAAAGGAGACAGAUCCUACCUAGGUAAGUGUACCGGAAGGUGUGUUUGGGUAAUCAAAGUG